rnacentral:rRNA from 1 species
ACCUAGUAGUACGGAAUAGCCAUUAGAAAUGGUGGGUAAUACUGUAUAAUCCCCGAGGGGGAAAGAUUUAUCGCUAUUAGAUGAGCCUACGUUAGAUUAGCUAGUUGGUGAGGUAAUGGCUUACCAAGGCUAUGAUCUAUAGCUGGUCUGAGAGGACGAUCAGCCACACUGGAACUGAGAUACGGUCCAGACUCCUACGGGAGGCAGCAGUGGGGAAUAUUGGACAAUGGGCGAAAGCCUGAUCCAGCUAUGCCGCGUGAGUGAAGAAGGCCUUCGGGUUGUAAAACUCUUUCAAUAGGGAAGA